rnacentral:lncRNA from 1 species
CAACUUGCCACUGGCCGAGAGCUGAGCACCACUUCCUUAUGACAUCCCUGUCUAGCACACCAGCUUGGCGAGCCCUGGAUCCUGACACAUGAACGUCACCUCGAGUUGAAGAAAUGUUCACAUAAGCCAGUCUCCCAUCCCUGAUGGUGGCCAGGAGAAGACCAGCUGCUUUGAGGGGAGGCAUAAGAAAAACAGCAAGUAAAGAAUGAUCCUUACCUCUUUCACUCUAUCAGUUUCCAGCAAGGACUAGUUUAAUCAGAGAUCGCAUUUGGGCCACCAUAUUUAAUUGCCAUGGGCAGUGCAUGCAUGUGUGUGUAGACAGGGGAUAACUUCAGCUUGUUCCUCUGCUUCCAUAGAUUGGCCAUGACAGUCUCUGCUCGAAGCUGGUGGCAAGAUGAUGAUGCUCACAUGACUAAUCAUAAGAGUAGUCCAAGAGGAUGUGGCCACCACUGAGUGCUUUGCCUGCCAGGGACAGCAGGGCGACAUACAGCAGUGGGAGGAUGCGUCUCCAGAGUGAUCCUGCUCGAGGGGCUUUGGCGGCGCUCUGGCAAGGUUGACUCCCACUGCCAUCCCAGAGGGUGCUGCGGAGCUGCCUUUGCUGGCAGCGCUAUCAUCCUUCCAGCGAUUAGCGGGUGCCGCCUGCGACACAGCAUCACUCUGGAGGAGAAAUUCAACUUGCUGUAAUAAAAGUUUUGUGAAAUUCACCCAUAUUCUGCAGACGACUUGGAAUGGGAAACUCUUUGGCGGACUCUCAACAGCAGGAGCAGCAGCUAAUGCUUGUCUUGGUUUCUUCGUUAGUAUUGCUGACAGUUUGCCAGUGCCGUAGACC